AACACGUGGGUAACCUGCCUGUAAGACUGGGAUAACUCCGGGAAACCGGGGCUAAUACCGGAUGCUUGAUUGAACCGCAUGGUUCAAUCAUAAAAGGUGGCUUUUAGCUACCACUUACAGAUGGACCCGCGGCGCAUUAGCUAGUUGGUGAGGUAACGGCUCACCAAGGCGACGAUGCGUAGCCGACCUGAGAGGGUGAUCGGCCACACUGGGACUGAGACACGGCCCAGACUCCUACGGGAGGCAGCAGUAGGGAAUCUUCCGCAAUGGACGAAAGUCUGACGGAGCAACGCCGCGUGAGUGAUGAAGGUUUUCGGAUCGUAAAACUCUGUUGUUAGGGAAGAACAAGUACCGUUCGAAUAGGGCGGUACCUUGACGGUACCUAACCAGAAAGCCACGGCUAACUACGUGCCAGCAGCCGCGGUAAUACGUAGGUGGCAAGCGUUGUCCGGAAUUAUUGGGCGUAAAGCGCGCGCAGGCGGUUUCUUAAGUCUGAUGUGAAAGCCCCCGGCUCAACCGGGGAGGGUCAUUGGAAACUGGGGAACUUGAGUGCAGAAGAGGAGAGUGGAAUUCCACGUGUAGCGGUGAAAUGCGUAGAGAUGUGGAGGAACACCAGUGGCGAAGGCGACUCUCUGGUCUGUAACUGACGCUGAGGCGCGA
rnacentral:rRNA from 1 species